rnacentral:misc_RNA from 1 species
GAUGAAGAACGCAGCGAAAUGCGAUAAGUAAUGCGAAUUGCAGAAUUUCCGUGAGUCAUCGAAUCUUUGAACGCACAUUGCGCCCACUGGUAUUCCGGUGGGCAUGCCUGUUCGAGCGUCAUUAUCCUCCCUCAAACCCCGGGUUUGGUGUUGGACCCAAGUUGUGUGAACAACUGGUCUCAAAGACAAUGACGGCGUCCGUGGGACCCUCGGUGCAACGAGCUUUUAGGAGCACGCAUCAAGUUGCAAGGACCUUCCGGGCCGGUCUCCUUUACCAUUUUACAAGGUUGACCUCGGAUCAGGUAGGAAUACCCGCUGAACUUAAGCAUAUCAAUAAGCGGAGGA